GUGGUGCUGUCUACUUCCAAUUGUAUUCCUCUUCUCCCCCUGUGCCCAUCACAGAGCUUAUUGGAGACUGAAGAAACAUCCUUCAGCUGAAAAUAUGCCUGUAUGAUUUCUAUAGCUUCAAUGCUGUCCUCCGAAUGCUGAACACACAGAAGGCCUCAAGACGCCGACGUACGCCCUCAGCUCCCUCCAUGGUGUCGUGCUUUCUCCACAUUCCCUGCUGCCUUGGCCUCCGCUUGUCGCUGCUCCUAGCCAUUUUACCCAGAUCUGUGCAGCAAUGAGGACAUUAAGGCAUGAGAAAACAACGACAACAACAACAACAACACACAGCUGAAGAAGAAACAGCUCCAGAGCAAAGGUUCCUCUUUCCUGGGCCGCCUUCUGCAAGCCAAGGCUUGUGCGAUUCUCUAAAGCCCUCAUGAAUCAGCGAGGAUACCAGCCCAAUCAAUAAAUAAUAUGGAGGGCUGAGAGAUUGAGGUCUC
rnacentral:lncRNA from 1 species